GUGUGCUCAGGUGUGUCGAUGGGCGGGGCUUCAACUGUUGGCUAACUCUGGUCUUGUUUAACAUGGCUUAGCAUGACAAGUAAUGGAGACAGAUCUUCACUCAAACUUCUUUUUUGGACUAUUAACCCAAAAGUCAAAGUUUCCAGGACUGUGAAGUAAAGAAUAAUCAGUUAGUGAAGUCACGUGUUGUUUCUCCUCUGGAUACGUCACAGGGACGCGGUUAAAGUCACGAGCUCCACUUAUUGACCCCGAGUGAGGAGUAAGCUGCUGAGGGGAGCUGGCUCCCUCUGUUGGAGACACUUUAAAUACCAGGUGAGUGCCAGGGACCAAAUGCAUGCAAGAAUAGACUCCUGCAGCCAAGAACAUUUAAAGGAAAUCACCUUUUAAGUUGAUCCCCACAUCUUGCUACGCAUACAGCGUGUGCAACAACAUUAGGAUUCACUUGGAGUCUUCUUUUUGCCCACCUGAUGAAUGUUAAAUCCAAUAUUUGCUCUCUUUUAGUUCUGUUUUUGGUCUCUACCAACUCCUAAAAAAGGAAAUAUCUGGCUUUCUAGCUGCUUAACGCUCCACUAGGUUCACCAGCUAGUUGCUGACUGUGCCUGUCUGCUGUUUGGGUAGAUGGUUUUAAUUCCUUUUAUUUAUUUAUUUGCUUUUAAAUGAAGCUUGGGUGCGAUGCACUUAAAUCUCUGAGAAGCCAAGUCCACCCUUCGAGCAUUAUUUUGUAACAUAAAAAGGAAACGGCGCAGAAAACAAGACAAGUCAUACAGAUAUAAAGACAGACAGACUGAAAGACAUAAUUAAUGAAGGAUGGAGGCUCGGCCCUGUGCGGGGCUUUUGGGUGAAAUGACCCUUUAACAUGACCAUAGGUGAUUAUUGUGCCGGUCAACGUAUGUUGAGUAAAACACAAAACAAGUGCACUUCUGCAAAGAUACAUUACUGAUUUUAAUCACAACCUAUCACAAGUGAAACAUUUCUCAUUGGAGAGGACUGAGGCAGGGUAGCUAGACUAGCAGCCCCAAAAUCCUCUUGGAACUGGAAAAAUAAAGAAAAUAGUUUGCAUAUGAAAAUAUAUUAUCAGACACAUCUAUUUGAAAAUUAGCUACAACCAGUUAAUUUAGCUUAGCGUACAGCAUAUUUAUUCUCUGCUGGCAAACAAAGGGCAGGAUUUGGUCUGCUCACAGAUUACCCAGCUAGCAAGCAAAUGUAAAGGCCUUUCUUUCAGGCAGCCAAAGAGCCACUGCUGGUCCAAGUUGCCAGAUUUUGACCAGCUGACUAUGAUGAUGCUGAUAUUUUGUAAACCAACCAGUUGUGCUGGCCCAACAUCAGCUUGCUAACAAGCUCGCACAAUACGGCACUUGAGGUCCCACGAUAGUCGACAUAUUUUUACAGGCUUCUUCCAGAAAUUCGGCUCUGUGUCCAUUGGGUAGCUCUUUUCUGUCAGUAGUGUUAAUCGGGUGAAUCGGUGCAGUAUCGCUGAAACUUUUUUAUAUAUAUAUAUUUGAAACAUUUUAUAACAGUCUAGCAGCUAGGAAAUGGUGCUGCAGCCUGUUAAACCACUCAGUCACAAUCUGUAAAAGACAUGUAUCAUGACCCAUCAGCAGCAAAAUCAUGCAAGAGCUUUUAGCAUAAUGCAUGAUUUCACUGCUGGUAAGGGGUCAGGAUGAAUAAAGUUGUCAGAGAGAUUAGUUUGUAUCACUAAAAUGGGAAUGCACCACUGAAUUCAUAAGCUAUAGUAGUUUACUCUGGAUUUGGAGCAGUGCAGGUCUGUUUGUCGCAAACAAGUUCAAGUUCAGAGGCCUUCACCAGACUUAUUAAUAUCAGAAAUAUCAAAACAAAUGGUCUGUUCUCAAUAUAUACAAAAGGUUCUCAGUAGCUUUUAUGCACAGGAAGAAAUUAUUUUUGUAUGUAUCUGUCCUUUUCUAAUGCCUUAUAUGCUCAUAGUAAAACUUUGGGUACAAUUUCAUAAGUGAAGCUAUCACAACAUGUUUACUACUUCAUUAUGUAUAUAAAAAGUGGAUGAAGCUGGUUUGGGAGACAAAUGAAAAAUAAAUGCUUGUUUUAUUGGCAACAGGAAGGUGAAAGUGUCUCUUGAUGUUCACCUCAUUAACGUUUUUUUUUUUUUUUUUUUUUUUUU